UUUCCGUAGGUGAACCUGCGGAAGGAUCAUUAUCGUACCAAAGGUGAUGGGCAUGCGAAGGCUGUCGCUUACCCAAAAGUCGUGCACGCCCGAUUGUGUCCUCUUGCACAAUAAUCCAUCCCACCCCUUGUGCAUCACCGCGUGGGCACCCUUCGGGAUCAUCUCGGGGGGGGGCUCUCGUUUUCACACAAACCCCCCUUUUAAAAGUGUAGAACGACGCCAUUUAUGCAAUCAAUACAACUUUCAACAAUGGAUCUCUUGGCUCUC
rnacentral:misc_RNA from 1 species